GCGUUACUCUUCCACCCAAUCCAGCCCUUGAAGAAGCAGCUAUAGGAUCCCAUAAUCAUGCUGGCAUGAAUCAUCCAGGUGAAGCCAAUGCUGACUUUGAAGACACACAGAUAUUAAAGAUAUUGAUGCUGGGAGCAAGCCCUAGAAAGCCGGAUUCUUAUUUAUGCACAGCUUACCAUGCACAGGAUUUGGAAUCAUAUAUUUAUAAGUUUGAAGCUGUAGCUGACGCCAACACAGCUCAUCACAUGCUGUUGUAUGGAUAUGAUGGUGAAGCCUAUUCUCAGUAGCCAGUUUGGAACUGUCCUGCAGUGUGCAAGAAUAGUCAUCCUGUGAUUUUAUUUGCUUGGGCUAAAAAUGCUCCUCCAACUAUCUUGCCUAAAGAUGUUGGUUUGAGAUUUGGCAACAGAACAUUCAUUAAAAACAUUACUAAACAUUAGUACUGCAAGUUCACUAUGCUAGGAUAUUUACUGAUGCUGAAGAUGAAGACCACUCAGGUUUGAAGAUUUAUGUCACACACAAAAAGCAGCCAUAUGUUGCAGGAGUUUUUUUCUUGGCAUCUGCAUCGUUUACGAUACCUCAAGGACAUUCCUCCUUCCCUGUGGAUGUCUGCUGUAGAUUUUCAAAAGAAAAAAGUAUUUUUCCAUUUGCCUACAAGCCACAUGCCCAUGGUUUAGGAAAAUUGUUUUUUUCAAAGUUAAAACUAAUUGAAAAAAGGAAUUACAAUUGAAUAGUAACAAUGACGUAUGUUCAGGAAUAUUAUGAUGAAUAUGCUGCCAAUGAUAUGAGAGAGAAAGGAAUGUAUGGAACUGCCACCUCUAGCGAGGAAGGACUCAGUCGGAACAGGAACAAGGGUUUUGAAGCCAUCAGUCAACAGCUAGAGCAUUUCCCUCGCAAGAACGCAGCUGGUCGGAUCAAUCAAUCCCAGCGUUUGGAUCAGAAUCAAGGGAAACAGCCUCUGUCAGAGAACACAAAUCAUGCCUCAAUCAACAGACAAAACAGUGAGCUCAGAAAACUCCCUAACUCAGUUAGAGCUAUAGAAGUUGGUCAGUCAGAAGCAGUCCAUAAACCACAUAGUUAUGUUCAUUUGGAGAAACCUAUAUUCAAUUCAUCAUGGCCAGAAGAGUCUAUUACAUUUGGUCAGGUGUGGCUAUUGACACAAGUGGCUCUAGAAAAUGGACUGCACAGAAACUUUUAAAGUGGGAAGCGUGGUCGAGAGGUUAAGGGCUCUUGAACUUGGCUUGGCUUGGCUACCAAUCAAGGAGGCUCGAGGUUCGACAUCCGACUUAGGCAGAGUUGUGUUUAUUGAGCGCCUAAAGGCAGCACAGAAAAACCUUCUCCUAGAUACCCCCUCCUCCCCCACAACUGAGAUUGGACCAAAGCGCUCAGAGCAUGCUAUAAGCAUGAAUCUCUCUGUUUCAUUGUAUCAUAAUUUAUCAAAGUUAUGUUUUAUUUACUUAUUCUUAUUCAACUUUUACAAAGUAAAAAUGUUAUGAAUGAAAAAAAUUGUAUUUUUUGUAAAUUUAGUUACAGUUAUAUUGAAUAGAAUUAUUUAUGUUAGCAACUUUUGAAUGCAUCACAUAAUUUUAAUUUGACACAGAAACUGAAAAUCAUUUCAAUUAAAGUUGAAACAUUGUCUCUUGUUGGUGGGGUAUGCAAGACAUUGGUUCUAUGCUGUUGGUAAAAAUUUCUCAUCGUUCAUUGACUUCCAUUGUACUCCACCUUGCACUUUCAAAAUAGUGAUGUCAUUUGUUUCUCAAAUGUUAGUAGCAUAGAAAACAUGGACUGUGUGGUCUAUUUAUCUUAAUGUGUGUUUCAUGUAUUGUAAGUGAUCAUAUGUAACAGUUAUGGGUAUAGAGAAUAAAAUACAAAAUAUUAAA